GGGUGUAGCUCAGGGUAGAGCACUUGUCUGGCAUGUAUGAGGUUCUGGGUUCAAUCCCCUGCACCACCA
rnacentral:tRNA from 1 species